ensembl:lncRNA
UUUGUGUCCGGGGAUGGGCGUCCAGGUACACACCGGCUCACUCCUUGGUGGCUGCUUAUCGGGGCCUGGAGCCUGGGGCUUGCUCGGGCCACUUCGGGGGUGGGGUGCCCCCGGCCUCUCGGCCUGGGGCUCGGUCACUCAGGCACAGCUGGCUGCCGGCGGAGCUCACGGGCGCGUCACUGCAACUCCCCCUGGCUUCUGCUCCGCGGCUGCUGAAUGAGCCCUCAUCUGGGACUCUCCUUAGCUCUUACUGGGACAGUGGUGCGGCUGCCCCUCUGUGGGUCUUCCUUGGUCUCUUGUGUUCUGGGGGCCUCUGGAUGUCUGGAGUUUUGAUCUCCUCCAUACCUGCUUGAUACCAUAAAGGACAGGGCUGUGGCUCCCCACACUCCCUAGCAGAUCAUUACAUGGAGAAACCUUUGGAAUGCAAGCAUGCUGAUCCACACAGGUAUGCACACAGGUGUACACAUGGGUAUUCACAGACGCGGACUACAGCUUUCUUGGCUGCUGCCUCAAAGCACACUGUGCGCUGUCUAUCUUGCGUGCUGCACAAUAUCGUUUAUUAUUUAGUAACUAUUGAUAUCUACGGCUAGCUAGUUUAUUGUGAUGGUGCUUUUUUUUUUUUUUCUUAUUAUGUUGCUCUUUGUUGUUUGCUGUCUCCUCUGUUUUUUUUUUUCUCCAUACAGGUGACCCAGGAGUUUUGUUUUUUUUGUUUGUUUGUUUUUUUCUCUCUUCCCCCCCUUCUCACCGUCUCUUCUCCCCUUUGGUUUUCUUUCUUUCUUUCUCUCCCUCUCUUUCUUUCAUUCUGUCCCCCUGUCCUAUAAAAAAAAAAAAAAAAAAAAAAAAAAAAAAAAGGCCAAAACUAUAAUGAUGAGAAGAUUAAAAAAUAUCUUACCUCUGAAGGUUUGGCAAAAGAAAAAAAAAACAAAAAACAACAAAAACAACAAAAACAAAACAAAAGCACAACCACUGUCCACACCUCACCUCACAGUAUAUGAUCAUUUCCAUUUUAGGCAUUUCCAAAUAAUCAUUUUCCAUACUGCCAGCAUAAAUAUACACAGUAUACUGCCAUCACUACAAUAUAGAUGUUUUACACACUCCUUUUGUUGUUGACAUUUACAGG